rnacentral:rRNA from 1 species
UGGCGACCGGCGCACGGGUGAGUAACGCGUAUGCAACCUGCCCGAUACCGGGGUAUAGCCCAUGGAAACGUGGAUUAACACCCCAUAGUACUUUUAUCCUGCAUGGGAUGUGAGUUAAAUGUUCAAGGUAUCGGAUGGGCAUGCGUCCUAUUAGUUAGUUGGCGGGGUAACAGCCCACCAAGACGAUGAUAGGUGGGGGUUCUGAGAGGAAGGUCCCCCACAUUGGAACUGAGACACGGUCCAA